rnacentral:rRNA from 1 species
GACGAACGCUGGCGGCGUGCCUAAUACAUGCAAGUAGAACGCUGAAGGAGGAGCUUGCUUCUCUGGAUGAGUUGCGAACGGGUGAGUAACGCGUAGGUAAACUGCCUGGUAGCGGGGGAUAACUAUUGGAAACGAUAGCUAAUACCGCAUAAUAGUAGAUGUUGCAUGACAUUUGCUUAAAAGGUGCAAUUGCAUCACUACCAGAUGGACCUGCGUUGUAUUAGCUAGUUGGUGGGGUUACGGCUCACCAAGGCGACGAUACAUAGCCGACCUGGGAGGGGGGACCGCCAACCUGGGACUUGGGCACGGCCCCGACCCCUUCGGGGAGGCGCAGUAGGGGAUCCUCGGCAAUUGACGGAAGGCUGACCGAGCCACGCCGCGUGAGUGAAGGAGGGUUUCGGAACGUAAAGCUCUGUUGUAAGGGAAGAACGAGUGUGGGAGUGGAAAGUGCACACUGUGACGGUAUCUUACCAGAAAGGGACGGCUAACUACGUG